UACAGAGGGUGCAAGCGUUAAUCGGAUUUACUGGGCGUAAAGCGUGCGCAGGCGGUUUUGUAAGUCAGAUGUGAAAUCCCCGGGCUUAACCUGGGAAUGGCCAUGGAAACUGGCGAACUGGAGUGUGGCAGAGGGGGGUGGAAUUCCGCGUGUAGCAGUGAAAUGCGUAGAGAUGCGGAGGAACACCGAUGGCGAAGGCAGCCCCCUGGGCUAGCACUGACGCUCAGGCACGAAAGCGUGGGGAGCAAACAGG
rnacentral:rRNA from 1 species